CUUGCAUGUGAAAUGCUCUCUAUAAUUAGCACUGAUUCCCUCUGAUUUUUUGUCUCGUCGGUGAUUCUUUGACUAAUUUCAGAGUUAAUUUUGUUUUCUUACCAUAUUUGUGCUCUUAAAUAUUUUUACAAUAUUCAGUAUAUGUUUUCCUUAUUCGAGUAUUAUGUAUUUGGCCUAUAUUACAUACUACAUGCCUACUACUUUACUAUGGUAUAAUUAGUCGUCUGAUUGACUCUUCCCUUAUAUGAUAUAGCUGUAUUCUCAUUCGAAUCAUGAAUCCGAUACUAAUUUGAAUUGGGACCUAUGAUUAAUUCGAUUUGGUACUAUUUCUAUAAUUAUAUACUCCCUACCUUAUUCUCUGUUAAUUUUAAAACUAUAAAUACUCUUGACAAUUCUCUUUGAAUACACCAACACACACUGCAUAUCUCUCACAAUGUUAGACUCUCUGAAUUCUUCUCUUUCUCUGCUAUUAUUAUACUCUCUCUUACUCUCUUAUUUGAACACUGAAUCGACUGAAAGUCAAGAUUGAGUAUCCUGGGUUGAUUACUUCUACACUAUCGGGUUUUAUUCUUUGUUUACUUGGGUCUGUUGCUGCUGCUAUUCUCUUACUGAUGCUGCACACUGUUAUUCUCUCUGUUGCUUACACUCUCUUCUCACCUUGUUCCUCUGUGCACUAUUGUUAUUUUGGUAUAUUACUUGCAACUGGUAUGUUGACCCUUUAAGAUAUAGUUUCCACAACAACAUGUUUCUAUUAAUUUUGCAUUUCAUAAUGUUUCUUGUAUGCUUUUACUUAUGGUUUGUUUCUCUUUUUGUCACUAACAUGGUACUUACUAGUCUAUUUGGUUCAGCUUAACAUGCUCCCUUACCCCUUCCCCUGUCUCAAUGAAUGUUUACUUUUUCCUUGUGUACUACUACCAUGCAUCCAUGUCUGCUUGGCUACUUGGUCAACCUAAAACCUCUGUUUGAGGCUAAGCGUAUUGGAGUUUGGUACAGUUUAAGAACUGAACUCUUGUUUUGCAACCAUGUCUGGUUACUUUAUAAAACUUCUGUUUGAGGCCAAGUCUAUUAGAGUUUGGUACAAUAAGAACAGAACUCUUGUUUUGCAACCAUGUCUGGUUACUUGCUUCCAAUGUGUUGCCUAUGUGAUUGGUUUAUUUUUCUUAUUCGUUCCGUUCCCCUUUGCCCUUAUUUGUGUGAUGCUCUGGUGUUCUAAAACUGGUCAGUCUAAAUGAUUUCAAAAGAACUCUUGCGACUCUUCCAACUGUUUUCUUAAACUCUCUCAAUUCUUUCAGCUGCUUUCUCAAACUGUCUCUCAACUGUUUUCAACUCUCUCAAACCUCACAACUCUUAGAAAUUAGGCCCUGCCCCCUUAGUGUAAGCAUUGCUUUGGGAGCCUUGAGCACCCACUGAACUUUGAUGCACAAGGCUGGUAAUUUCACACUUGCACUUGUCUAAUUAUGAUAUUUUGGGUUUUUGGUAUUGGCCAGGGGUUCAAAUGAACCCUUAGGGAACUUUGCCGCAUCCAAGCCUUGGUAAUAGCUGUGAAACUCGAAAGAAGUGUGGUUGGAGAUCUUGGGCCUGGCUGUAGGCUCCCUAUAGAAUAGCUUCUUCUACUUUUAUCACUGUUACAUUUCUAAAUUACUUGGUCUGUAAUAACUUGUAAAGAAUAAUGGAGAAUAUAGUGAAAUUGG
rnacentral:lncRNA from 1 species